GACGAACCGUCCAACCGUUAUUCGGAAUCACUGGGCUUAAAGGGUGCGUAGGCGGCGCGGAAAGUUGGGUGUGAAAUCCCUCGGCUUAACCGAGGAACUGCGCCCAAAACUACCGUGCUUGAGGGAGAUAGAGGUGAGCGGAACUUAGGGUGGAGCGGUGAAAUGCGUUGAUAUCCUAAGGAACACCGGUGGCGAAAGCGGCUCACUGGAUCUCUUCUGACGCUGAGGCACGAAAGCUAGGGUAGCGAACGGG
rnacentral:rRNA from 1 species